rnacentral:misc_RNA from 1 species
CACCGUGAGACGGCUCAGACGUGCACACGCUGACCGACGCACGGAUCAGGUGUGGAAUAUCUUUGGAGCAGAACGCUUACACCGCAGACGGAGCAGACAAGGGACUUGUCUAACUUCUGACAGGCUGUGAGCCAACGACGUGUCUUCCUCACUCUCCUUCGCCUCUCUCUCCGCGUCGGUGGUGAGAGAGGUCCUUCAUUGCGAGCAGCCGUUUGUGUACAUAGACAUUUUUUUUGUUUGACCAUUUCAUUUUUCGUCUUUGGCUGCUUGCAGAGGUUCCGGUUUGAGCUCACAAUCACUUCUCUGUGCGUGCGCGUGUGCAUGCGGAAGCUGGAUCUUUCUUUUGAUUGUUUCGUCUUCUCUGCAGCUUGCGUUUCUCUGUUUUGGAUCUUAUUGAAUCCCCCCUCCUCCCCCCUCUUUGCCGUUGCUGUCACCGCUACGGGCCGCCUCUCACCUCAAUCCUCGGCGCGUUGCCGCAGCGCGCCCCUAAUAUCGCUCAACGCCACGAGCGGCUUUCUUAGGGACUUCAAGCGGUACCCGUGUGCGCUGGCCCACAAGAGAGCACUCCAGAGUUGACACGCGCACGGGCGUCAUCGCGGAGCAUUCAGCAGCGUUGCUGCCAGACGCGGAGCUCUUUCGGGCUUAAUACAAGUUUUUUUUUUUUUUCAGCGGGAGCGAGUUCCUGCCUGCAGCACACGCUCCUAACUUCGCACGCAUCACCGACGCUGUAACACUCGAAGAUAUGCUGCAAAGCUUUCUUCGCCCUCAGAGCGGUGCCACCACCGUGGCGACAGGCGACGAGGUGGAGCAGACUGCGCCAGCCCGCGGGUCAAUGAUGGAGAGCCACCAUCGUGACGCGCAGCGAAGCACGAAUGCCGCCGCCUUCGCAGCGUCGGAGAGUAGCGCCGCUGCCACCGGCAACGCUGACACCGGGGAAGCCACUGCCCUCGCUGCUCUACCGGUUAGCAGCGUGUACAAAGAGUCCGCUCUGCGGUUUCCGACGGCGAGCCCCGGCACCUUCGAACCGAAGGUGCAGGUGCCGUACGCCUACAAGCGGGGCCGCAUGCCACGCGACGUCGAGAUCGAGCGCCGCCGCCGACUGUACGACAGUGAGAGCGUUGACCGUCUUUUGCAGGUCAGUGGGCUCACCUGGGAGGCACUGGCGCGUCGUAGUGCGCAGAGCCUGCCGCUGGAGAUCUUCGACGACACCUCUUACGACUGCCGCAAUCCGUCUGAGUGGAUGGCGAUGGCGGCCAUGGCACCAACGCAGGCGUCUCGCUUUCUUCCAGCGGAGGGGGUGUACUACUGCAAAGACCAGGACUCCUUUGAGCUCCGUCCGUGUCGCGUGAUUGGAUGGGCCGAGGACACGAACACGAUUCGGCUCUAUUGGGGCUCCGCCCCGACGACGGCGCGCUCCUCGUAUAGCGACGGCGCCGGCGCCGCCGGCACGAGCGACGGGGGCGGUACUGGCACUGCAGCAUACGAGGAGGCCGGCGAGCCGGUGGCGACGUUGCCCCGCAUCUUUGUGCGGUUUCUUGCCGAGGAUCCAAUCGUGUAUGUCCAGCGCCUAGUCAGCGCUCACACGCAGCGCCAGAAGACGACCUCGUGGAUUCUUUACCGACUGUGCUGCGACUCGAUGCUGGUGGCGAGCCUCGAAGAGCUGGACGCCGGGCUGGCAGAGCGGCUGCGCCACCUCGGCACAGACAUCCCUCAGCUCAGCCCUGCCGAGUUCCCCGACGUGGCGGAGCGCGUGGAGCGGCUAAUAUCGGAGAUUACGCUAGAGUGGCAGCGCAGCCACAACCGUCUGCUGUUGCGUGACCGCAUCCGCAUCGACGAGUCUGUGGCUCGCAUGGUCGUCAACUCCACCCACAUGGACCCCGAAGAGCUUUUGCGUGGCCCCAACCUUGCCGUCGACCGCAGCGACAUGGGAGAUCCGUCCACGGUGAUCUGCGUGGAGGGCGACGGCUUUGUGUUUGACGAGCAGGAGCAGGCAUUUACGUUUGCGACGUACUUUACGCAGCCGGAGGUGGUGCAGGCGUUGACAGGGGUACAGCGGGAGUGCAUGAAGGUGCUCGAGGGCUCCUUGUUCAACCUACCCAAGGAGCGGCAGAUGCCUCUGGAGUCGUUUGUGAAGUGUCAGCGCGAGCACCUCGCCUCGGCGUCGCGGCAGCUGAAAGAGGAGUGGCUGCCGCGCAUCUGCGAGACCAUCGUCAGCAGCUUUCAGUCGGCGGGGAAGGGCUGGCUGAACACGCGCGAGGCGAAGCAGAGCGUCUACGAAAUGUCGAAGCUAAAGAAAUUCUUCGUGACGGUCAAGUUCAUGAUGGAGGACAUGCUGUUCCAGCUUGUGUACUCGUCGCUUCACUCCUUCGCAGACUUCUUCGAGGAGGUGUCGGAUUUCACGGUGACGGUGCAGGACAUGAACAACGUGGUGAACGCGUGGCCCGGCAGCGACGCCGAUGACUGCGUGGAGAAGCAGCCUCUCUUCACGAUCGACCUGAUGGAGAAGGAUGGGCACUUCUCCUACUCUAUCUCCUUCGACGACUUCGAGGCGGCCAUCGUGGAUUUAUUCAACGACGCCAUUGCCUGCACCGAGUCCAUUCCGCAUGUGGAGCGCUAUGUUAUGACGCAAUACUUCUGGAGCCGCGACGGCGAGGGGCCCUUCCUCGACUCGGUGAAAAAGGAGGAGGAGCACGUGUGCUUGUUGCGCGAGCGUGUGCAGACCGCCGUGCGGACCUCGCUGGUGCCGCUGCAGACGUACCUGAACACGUACGAUGAGCUCCUCCCGCUCAUCCGGCUGGAUCAGGCGGAGUUCAUCAAGAAGUACGCGGAGGCCGGGCACAGCAUGGACGAGAUGAAGGAGGAGAUUGCGCAGCACCUCCGCGCCAAGAAAAACCUGGCCGAGCGGCUACCGCUCUUCCUCACCGUUGGCAACUUCGUCGUUGACUGCCAAUCUUUCAGCUACCUCAUGUCAAUGAAGGAGGAGGAGCUGGCACGGCUGGUGAUGCGGCUCAUCGGCAAAACCGGCAAGGAGGAGGCGGUGUACGUGCGGGAGGCGUUUACGCGCAUGGUCAACACGAUCGAGAAGACGCCGCAGAGCCCGGAGAAGCUGUACGAACUGUACGCCUUCAUGGACGGCAUGGGAGAGCAGGUGGCGGAGUUGGUGGAGCACAUCGCGGAGGUUCGCCAGUGCUACAGCAUCCUUGACGGGUUUCAGUUCGAGCUCAGCGACGACGAGUCACGCCUGAAGUGGGAGGCCAUUGGCUGGCCUCGCCAGCUGGCCCUGCGCAGUCACGCCGUACGCAAGCAGCUCGAACAGGUCCAGGAGGAGCUGCACUCUGGGCUGCAGAAGCGGCAGGAGGAGUUCUCAAAGAGGGUAGAACAGCUGCAGCGCGUCGUCGCGACCUUCUCGAAGCACACCGAGGCGGCCGAAGCGGACAAGGUGGCGGCUGAGGUCAAGACGCACAACAUUGAGAUUCGGCAGUGCAUUGAGGAGGCCCGCUCCAUCAACAGCGACCAGCGCCUCUUUGGAGACAAGCUUUCCGACUACCGUAACGUCUUUGAGCUGGAUAAGGAGUUCAAGCCGUACAGCGAUCUGUGGCUGACGACGUACACCUGGCAGGAGUCGUACCGCCGCUGGCACGCGGACGCCUUCACCACUCUCGACGCCGCGGAGAUCGAGUCGACAGUGACUGCCGCCUUCAAGACAAUGGUGAACCUCGCCAAGACGUUCAAGGACAAGGCGGCGCUGCUCAAGAUUGUGGAAGAGGUCAAAACCGCUGUCGAGGGCUUCAAGCCGUGGGUGUCCUUCCUAACAUCGCUGCGCCACCCUGGCAUGAGGGAACGCCACUGGACCGGCCUGUCCCAGAAGCUCGGAAUGAAGCUGGUGCCUGGCGACACACUGAUGCUUCUGGAGGACUGCGAACCGCUGCUAGCGCACCGCGACACCAUUAUCAGCUACUGCGAGGUGGCGGCGAAGGAGUCGCAGAUCGAGAUGACGCUCAAGGACAUGCGCGCCAAGUGGGAGACCAAGUGCUUCAUCAUCGAGGCAUACAAGGAGACGGGCACGUACAUCCUCAAGGACACCUCCGAGGUGGUGGAGCUCCUCGACGAGCACCUCAACCUCGUCCAGCAGCUGCAGUUCUCUCCAUUCAAGGGCUACUUCGAGGAGUCCAUCACGGACUGGGAGCGCUCCCUCAACCUCAUCUCCGACAUACUCGAGCAAUGGCUGGAGUGCCAGCGAGCGUGGCGUUAUCUGGAGCCGAUUCUCAACUCGGAGGACAUCGCCAUGCAGCUACCGCGACUGUCCACGCUGUUCGAGAAGGUGGACCGCACAUGGCGACGUGUCAUGGGCAACGCGCACGCGCAGCCAAACGCACUCGAGUACUGCAUUGGCACGAACAAGCUCUUGGAUCACCUGCGCGAGGCGAACCGGCUCCUCGAAGAGGUUCAGCGGGGCCUGAACGACUACUUGGCGGACAAGCGGCAGACGUUUCCGCGCUUCUACUUCCUCUCUGACGAGGAACUGCUGGAGAUUUUGUCGCAGGCGAAGGAGGUGCGCCGCAUCGACCCGAACAUCGCCAAGCUGUUCGAGGGCAUGCACCGCCUCCAGUGGAAAAGCAUUCACCCCGACGAGGCGCGCGCCCCGGACGCGGGCGGCGAGGAGUGCAGGGAUGGGGUGACAGCGGAUGUGGAGACAAUCACCGGCUUCUACAGCGGCGAGGGCGAGUACAUACCAGCGGUGAAGUCGGUAGUGCCGCACGGUAACGUGGAGGAGUGGCUGAAGCUUCUGGAGAAGAUGAUGAAAGACAGCGUGCAUGCGCAGGUGAAACGCGCCUUCGGGGCGUACCUCAGCACGCGUCGCAGCGAGUGGGUGCUGCAGUGGCCUGCGCAGGCGGUUAUCGCGGUGGCGCAGAUAUACUGGACCCAAGGCUGCGAGGAGGCCCUCACUACGAAGGGCGAGGUGGAUGGCUACGCAAAGGUGCUAGACAGGCAGCUGCGGCAGCUGGUGGAGGUGGUUCAGUCGCCGUUGACGGCGAUGCAGCAGAUCAACAUGGGUGCGCUCAUCACGAUCGAGGUGCAUGCCAAGGACACGGUCGACAGCAUGCAGGCGGCGAAGGUGUCGAGCAUGCAGUCCUUCGAGUGGAUGAAGCAGCUGCGCUUCUACUUCGACCACAGCGACGGCUUCUGCCACAUUCGCCAGGUUGACACUCACUUCGUUUACGGUGGCGAGUACCUCGGCAACACGGCCCGCCUCGUCGUGACCCCGCUAACCGAUCGCAUCUAUCUGACCUUGACAGGUGCCCUGGCGCUGUGCCUCGGCGGCGCGCCCGCCGGCCCCGCUGGCACCGGGAAGACAGAGACGACGAAGGAUCUGGCCAAGGCACUUGCCAAGCAGUGCGUCGUUUUCAACUGCCAGGAGGGUAUGACGUACCGGUCGAUGGGCAGGUUCUUCAAGGGCCUCGCCUGGACCGGUGCGUGGGCGUGCUUCGACGAAUUUAACCGCAUUGACGUCGAGGUGCUCUCCGUCGUGGCGCAGCAGGUGACGGACUUGCAACAGGCGUGCUCCACGAAGCAGUACCGCAUUCUUUUCGAGGAGAGCGACAUCCUCGUCGACCCGACCCACGCCGUCUUCAUCACCAUGAACCCCGGCUACGCCGGCCGCACGGAGCUGCCGGAUAACCUGAAGGUGCUGUUCCGCCCCGUGGCGUGUAUGGUGCCAGACUACGCCAUGAUUGGUGAGAUCCGGCUCUUCUCGUACGGCUACCAGAAGGCGCGCGCCUUGGCGCAGAAGAUGGUCAUGACGUUCAAGCUGAGCUCUGAGCAGCUCUCGUCGCAGGACCACUACGACUUUGGUAUGCGCGCCGUCAACACCGUCAUCUCGGCAGCCGGGCUAAACAAACAGGAGCGGCCCGAUGGAGACGAGGAUGAGCUGCUGCUGCGUGCGCUGCGCGACUCGAACGUGCCGAAGUUCCUCAAGGACGACAUUCUGCUAUUCGACGGAAUCAUAAGCGACCUGUUCCCCGGCACGGCUUUGCCGCAGAGCGACUACGGUGCCGUGGUGCAGGCACUGACAACGGCCAUCACAGAGGCGCACCAGCAGCCCGUCUCUGCCUUUGUCCAAAAAUGCUUGCAGUUGUACGACAUCACUAUGCUGCGCCACGGCCUCAUGCUCGUCGGCCCGGCUGGCAGUGGCAAGACAGCGUCCUUCACGACGCUUCAGCGUGCCCUGACCGACUGCGCGACCCGCCAAGCGAAGGGCAACGACUUUGGCGCGCGCCGGAUUCAGAAGGUGUUCACGCACAUCUGCAACCCGAAGUCUGUCACGAUGGACCAGCUGUACGGCGCCUACGACGAAAACGGCGAGUGGAAGGAUGGCGUGCUAUGCGUGCUGUUCCGCUGCGCCGCCCGAUACGGCGACGAGGGCAACCUCAUCGGCAAGCACUGGGUGAUGUUCGACGGCCCUGUUGAUGCGCUGUGGAUCGAGUCAAUGAACACUGUCCUGGACGAGAACAAGAAACUCUGCCUCGUCUCCGGCGAAAUCAUCCAGAUGAGUCGCGAUAUGACGAUGAUGUUCGAGGUGGAGGACCUCGCCGUGGCGUCACCGGCUACCGUAUCUCGGUGCGGCAUGAUCUAUCUCGAUCCCGCCACGUGCGUCCCUAUCUCCGCGCUCAUCGCAAGCUGGAUUUCGGCGCUGCCGCCCUACCUGGAGUCCCAGCGUGAGACAUUGAAGAGGCUGGCGAACACAUACGUCGAGGAGCUCGUGCAGCUGGUGCGCAGUGGCGCCGUGCACGAGUACGUCACCUCGACCACCAGCGGCCUCGUGCACUCCUUCUUCCACAUGAUGGAGGGAUACGUGAAGAGCUUCGAGGUAGCCAAGUCGGCUUCAGGACAGCUGCAGGUGUCGCCGGAGCGUCUGGCCGUCAUGGCGGGCGCGGUGCCACCGCUCUUCUUCUUCUCGGUGGUGUGGAGCAUUGGCGCCACAUGCGACGAGGCAGGGCGGCAGCUCUUCUCGGCGACGGUGUGGCGACUCGCGGAGGCGAAUGGUGACACUCACUGGCUGCCGCUUCUGCCAGCCGAGGACACGAGCGGCAGCGGCGGCGCGGAGGUCUUUUUGUACGACUACGUUUACCGCUACGACCCCGCCGGUGUGAUGGUGGAGGACGCAUCCGUGGCUGCCGACGGCGAUGGCGGCACCGGUGCUCCUGCGCUCUCGCCGUCGGUGGCGGGGAAAUGGGUGAGCUGGAUGUGCGAGCAGCCAACGCUGGAGAUUCCUGACGGCACGCGCUUUGACGACAUCAUUGUCCCCACAAUCGAUAGCACGCGGCAAAACUACGUGCUGCAGCACUUGAUGGCGCAGAAGGUCAACGUCGCCGCUGUUGGUCCGACUGGCACCGGCAAGUCCAUCUCACUCGCGCGUCUCGUGCUUGGCGGCGGCAUGCCGGCCAACUUUCUCGGCCUCAGCUUCACCUUCUCGGCGCAGACAAAGUGCACAGUGCUGCAGAAUUCACUGAUGGCCAAGUUCGAUAAGCGACGCUCGCACGUCUACGGCGCCCCUGCCGGUAAGCAUUUUCUCAUCUUCAUUGACGACGCGAACCUGCCGCAACCAGAGAAGUACGGCGCGCAGCCCCCGGUGGAACUGCUGCGGCAGAUGCUCGCCCAGGGCGGCUUCUACAACUUUACAGGCGGCAUCAAGUGGUCCUCCAUCAUCGACUGCUCGCUUGCGCUGGCGAUGGGGCCGCCUGGCGGAGGCCGCAGCCGGGUCUCGAACCGCUUUAUGCGCUACUUCAAUUACCUUGCCUUCCCCGAGAUGUCGGACAUGUCGAAGCGAACGAUCUUGCAGGCCAUCCUCGCUGGCGGCCUCGCGCAGAGCGGCCUCGCUGACCGCCUCGCGAACGUCGCCUCCGCCGUGGUCGAUAGCACGUUGCGGGUGUUUCGCAAGUGCACCCAGGUCUUUCUGCCGACUCCGGCGCACGUGCACUACUCCUUCAACAUGCGAGAUGUGAUGCGUGUCUUUCCCCUCUUGUACACGGCGGAGAAGUCGGUGCUGCAGUCUGAGGAAUCCAUCGUGCGGCUGUGGAUGCACGAGAUGCAGCGCGUCUUCUACGAUCGCCUCGUCGACGCGACAGACAAGGGUCUGUUUAUCGAGUACCUCAACGCCGAGCUGCCAUCCAUGGGCGUGAACAAGUCCUACAACGAGGUAGUGAAGGCUGACCGCCUCAUCUUUGCCGACGUGCUGAGCGACAAGGGCGUGUACGAGCAGAUUACCGACAUGAAUGCCCUCACGGCACGCAUGAAUGAGCUGCUGGAGACGUACAAUGACGAGAAUGAAGUGAAGAUGAACCUCGUGCUCUUCCUCGACGCCAUCGAGCACGUCUGCCGUAUCUCGCGCGUGCUGCGACUGCCGAACGGGCACUGCCUCCUCCUCGGCGUUGGCGGGUCGGGACGCAAGUCACUCACGCGCCUGGCUUGUUCGCUGAUUGCCGAGAUGGAGGUGUUCACGAUUGAGCUGUCGAAGAACUUCGGUGUCAAGGAAUGGCACGAAAGCCUGGCGAAGUUGCUGCUCGAGUGUGGCAAGGACGAGAAGAAGCGGACGUUUCUCUUCGCCGACACCCAGCUGGUGCAUCCGACGUUUCUGGAGGACGUGGCGGGCCUGCUCACAUCGGGUGAUGUGCCGAACCUCUUUGAGGACCAAGAUAUCGAGCUCAUCAACGACAAGUUUCGCGGCGUCUGCCUAAGCGAGAACCUGCCAACGACGAAGGUGUCGGUGUACGCGCGCUUCGUGAAGGAGGCGCGGGCCAACCUGCACCUUGUCCUCGCCUUCUCUCCUAUUGGAGAGGCGUUUCGCAGCCGCCUGCGCAUGUUUCCGUCGCUCAUUGCGUGCUGCACGAUCGACUGGUUUGCCGAGUGGCCAUCCGAGGCGUUACUGUCGGUAGCCGCAGCGCAGUUGAACGCCGGCGACGUUACUGACGUCAUGGUGGCUGCAAGCCAUGCCGACUUGCCGGGCUGCUUCCAGGCAGUGCAUCGCGCGGCGGCGGAAGUGACGGAGCGCUUCUUCACAGAGACACGCCGUCGCUCGUACGUGACGCCGACGUCCUAUCUGUCGCUCCUCUCCAACUUCAAAACGAUGGCGGCGGCAAAGCGCCGCUUCGUUCGCGAGCAGCGCGGCCGCCUCGAGAAGGGGCUGGAGAAGUUGCGGCACACCGAGGUGCAGGUGGCGGAGCUGGAGGCCCAGCUCAAGGCGCAGCAGCCGGUGCUGGUGCAGAAAAAGGCAGAGAUUCAGUCCAUGAUGGAGCGGCUGACGGUGGACCGAAAGGAGGCGGCGGUGAAGGAGGCGGACGCGCGCAGGGAGGAGGCGGAGGCUUCCGUGAAGGCGGAGGAGUGUGCCAAGAUGCGACGCGAGUGCGCCGACCGCCUGGCGGAGGCGGAGCCGGCCCUGGCGGAGGCUGUAAAGGUGCUGUCCAAGAUCAAAGCGGCCGAGAUUUCGGAGCUGAACAAGUACGCGAAUCCGCCUAAGGGUGUGCAAUACGUCAUGGAGGCCGUCGCGUUGCUGCUCACAUUUGGCAACUGCCCGAAGGAGUUCUACAGCGGUCCUCCGGGUGGCCGCAAGGUACCAGAUUGGUGGCUGUGCGCGAAGUCCUACAUGCGAGACGCGAAUCGGUUGCUAGACUUGCUCGUGCAGCCGCCGGAGAAAGGCGGCUUCAACCGCGAGGCGAUGGACACGGCGCUGAUGGAGAAGGUACGCGUCUACUACGACAACGAGGAGUUCCAGCCGGAGAAGGUGAGGGCGGUCUCUCUGCCAUGCAUGGCCAUGUGCCAGUGGGUGCGUGCCAUGUACAAGUGGUUCUUUGUGAAUCGAGAGAUUCAGCCGCUGCGCGAGAGGCUCGCUGCGACGGAGGCGGAGCUGGCUGUGGUGACGGAGGCCCUGCGCGCCACCCAGGCAACGCUUGACCGCGUCAUUGCUGCCGUGGCGGCGCUCGAGAAGGAGUACGACGACGCCCUCAACGCGCAGGCGGCGCUCGAGGCUGAGGUGGAGCGCACAUCGCUGAAGCUGCAGCGCGCGGCGAGGCUGAUCGACGGCCUCGGCGGGGAGAAGGGUCGCUGGACCACGCUGGUGGAGCAGUACAAGGAACAUGAGUGCUACAUUGUCGGCGACAUGGUGAUUGCGGCGGCCACGGUGGCCUACUGCGGACCCCUCACGGCACCCUAUCGCAAUGACGUGCGUCAGCAGUGGAAGGCACACCUCACCGCGGCAAACGUGGAGACGAGCGCCGAGUUUGACCUCGUUUCGACCUCAGGCGACGCGGUGCAGAUACAGGAGUGGCAGCUGUGCGGCUUACCGACGGACGCGCUGUCCACCGAGAACGCUAUCAUCCUCGCCAACUCACGGAACUGGCCGCUGCUCAUCGACCCGCAGGGACAGGCGAACGCGUGGGUGCGCAACAUUCACCGCAACGACAACCUGCAGGUGUGCAAGGCCUCAAACGACAAGUUCAUGAAGACUGUCGAGAACGCGAUUCGCCUGGGGCUGCCGUGCCUGAUCGAGAACGUCGGCGAGUCGCUCGACGCUGCGCUGGAGCCGCUGCUUUUGAAGAACAUCUUCCUGAUUGGCAGCACCUCGCAUGUCCGCAUCGGGGACAGCGCCAUCCCGUACGACCGCAACUUCAAGCUGUACCUCACGACGAAGCUGCCAAACCCGGUUUACACGCCCGAGACGAUCGUUACCGUGUCGCUGCUAAACUUCUUCAUUACCCCGAGCGGGCUGGAGGAGCAGUUGCUCGGCAAGACGGUGGAGAAGGAGCGGAAUGACCUCGAGCUGGAGAAGCAGCGACUCACCCGGUCCAACGCAGAGAAGAACUGCGAACUGAAAGACCUCCAGGCCAACAUUCUCGUUCUGCUCGAGCAGGCGGAGGGCGACAUUCUGGAGCAGGAGGAGCUCAUCAUCACGCUGGAGAAGAGUAAGGCUAAGUCUAUCGAGAUCAACGAGGAACUAGGCAAGGCGAAGGCCAUGGAGACAGUGAUUGAUGAGACGCGCAACAAGUACCGCCCGCACGCGGAGCGAGGCUCGCUGCUGUUCUUCUGCGCCUCGCAGCUCGCCAUUGUCGACCCCAUGUACCAGUUCUCUUUGCAGUGGUUCAUGAACCUGUUCCUCAACGCUGUGGACAACGCCGCGCAGGUGCCGGCAGCGAAGGAGGUCGCGGAGGACGACAGCGGCAGCGUGGAGGACGCGGUGGAGGUGCGGGUGCACAACUUGAUGGACUACUUCACCUACUCCUUCUACAGCAACGUGUGCCGCUCCUUGUUUGAGAAACACAAGCUGACGUUUUCGUUUUACCUCUGCGCCAGCCUUGUGCAGCACAGCGGGGCCAUGGUGGAUGCCGAGUACCGGUUCCUGCUCACUGGCCCCACCGGCAGUGUCCCGGCCGAUGCCCUGGCUAACCCCGCUUCGUCGUGGAUGACAGACAGCAGCUGGGCGGAGGUGCUCUUCCUCAGCAAGCACCUCUCCAGCUUUGCCGGCUUUGCCGAGCACGUGCGCGACCACAUAGAGCACUAUAAGGACCUGUUCGACAGCAACGAGGCGGACACGUACCCCCUCGCGGGAGAGUGGCGUGAGAAAGCGACACCGAUGCAGCGACUGGUCGUGAUGCGGUGCUUCCGAGUAGACAAGGUAGCGCUGGCGAUUCAGCACUUCAUUGAGCACUACAUGGGCAGUCGAUACAUUGUGGUGCCGCAGUUCGACUUGAUGGACGCCUACAAGGACAGUGAUUGCCUGACGCCGCUUAUCUUCAUCAACUCUGCCGGCUCAGACCCGAUGAACGACCUGCUGCGCUUCGCAGAGACGAUGCGGAUGUCGAAGCGACUGGACAAGGUGUCGCUUGGCCAGGGGCAAGGCAAGAAGGCAGAAGAAUUGAUCCGUGGCGCGCGGGAGAAAGGGCAGUGGGUGCUGCUGCAGAACUGCCACCUCGCCUCGUCCUGGAUGCCGACGCUGGAGUCCAUUGUGGAGAGCUUUACCCUGGAGACGGUGAAGAAGGAAUUCCGCCUGUGGCUGACGUCGAUGCCGUCACCCAGCUUCCCGGUGGCCGUGCUGCAGACGGCGGUGAAGAUGACGAAUGAGCCGCCGAUGGGGCUGCGGGCGAACGUGACGCGCUCCUACUACGGUUUCACCCCCGAGGACCUCGAGCACGAGGAGAAGCCCGCCGAGUUCAAAAAGAUGGUGUUCGCCCUAUGCCUUUUCCACGGUGUCAUCCAAGAGCGUCGGAAGUUUGGCUCCCUCGGGUUCAACAUUGCCUACGAGUUCAAUGACUCCGACCGCAAUGUGUGUCUGCUGCAGCUCCGCAAGUUCUUGUCCCUGUAUGACUCCAUCCCAUACGACGUGCUGACGUUUCUGACUGGCGAGAUCAACUACGGUGGGCGUGUCACGGACGACUGGGACCGUCGCUGCCUCAUGACCCUCAUCCAGCACUUUGUCCAUCCGGAGGUACUUCAGGACGGGUACGCCUUCUCGCCAUCAGGUCUCUACCACACCCUCGAGCCUGUCAGUCGCAAGCACUACCUUAGCUACCUCGAUUCGUGGCCUCUGAACCCACAACCAGAAAUUUUUGGCCUGCAUGAGAAUGCCGACAUUACGUGCGCGCAGAACACGACGCACAGCAUCCUGUCAACGGUCCUGGCGCUCGAGUCGCGUGGCGGUGCCGGUACAACGUCGAGCUCGCGGGAGCAGCUGCUGACGGCCACGGCGACGGAGAUUUCGACGAAGCUGCCUCAGCUGUUUGACAUGGCCGCCUUCAGUGCCAAGUACCCGACCAAGUAUGAAGAGUCAAUGAACACGGUGCUGGUGCAGGAGGCUGGGCGCUACAACCGCCUACUCAAGUUUAUCCACACGAGCCUGGCCGAAUUCCUCAAGGCCGUGCAGGGUGAGGUCGUCAUGUCAGCGGAACUAGAGGAUGUCGGCUCGAGUUUCUUUGUCAACAGCGUGCCGGUGUCCUGGAGUGCGCUGGCCUACCCGUCGCUGAAGCCGCUGUCGAAAUGGGUAGAGGACCUGGUGCGGCGUGUUCACUUCAUUGCGGACUGGUACGCACAUGGACCGCCGGCCGCCUUCUGGUUCGGCGGCUUCUUCUUUCCGCAGGCUUUCCUGACAGGCACGCUUCAGAACCACGCCCGUAAGGUGCACCAGGCCAUCGACAGCAUUUCCUUUCAGUUUAGCGUGCAGGAUGUGUCACUGGACCACAAGACGGUACCCCGACCGGACAAGGGAGCGCUGGUGUACGGCUUGUACCUUGAAGGGGCGCGGUGGGACUCGGAGCAGCACUCACUGACGGAGUCACGCCCCAAGGAGCUCUACGUUGAGAUGCCGAUGGUUCUCCUGGACCCCGUGGUAAACCGCACUCGCAACGCCAAGGACUACGUGUGCCCGGUGUACAAGACACUGACGCGUGCUGGCACGCUCAGCACGACGGGGCACUCUACGAACUUCGUCCUCCCUAUUGAGAUUCCGACCAAGGUGGAUCCGGCGCACUGGAUCGAGCGCGGCACUGCCUGUGUGGUUUCACUGCAUUACUGAGUUUACGCGGGUCGAGUACACGCAUCCGCUGAUGGCCUCUUUGGAUUCCAUCUUCGCUUUUCGUCUCUUCACUGAGCCCAUGGGCGACUGCCCGGGCGCGCUGCUCUUUUUCUUGUCGCUUUUCGGCGUCUCCCUUUGUUCCCUCCUCUCGGUGUGACGGAACAUCUUCGUGCAUAGGCGAAGUGGACUUUGCGGCGCGGCAGAGUGGUGCGUGUGCGUGGGCUUGCUUGCGUGUGCUCGCUGCUGCCGAAGCACGCUCCCUCUUUUUCACCGCAUUCCGCCUGUGCGUGUACGCGUGCGCGCGCCGAUGCUCCUUGGCUGUUUUGUAUUCGGCUCUACUGCAGCGAUUUGCGUGACCCCGUGCGUUCUCUCGCUUACAGCGCAACUGACAGCCGCAGCCUCCGGUGAUUCAGGGAUGUGCACUUCACCAGACGAGACGCGAGAGGAAGAUACAAUCGUUCUCUCUCUAUAUAUUGUCCGUCUGUCUGCUAUUUGCUUUUGCCACCAUCCGGGCACGCACGCGAACAUGCAGGGGUCUGUUCCACACGCUCCUGAAUCUCUCCGACACGUACCCCCGGUCCACCGGCUUUCCUCCAUCACACCGUUGAACGUUUCCUGGGUGGCGUAACCCGCGUUGCCUCUCUUUUUUUUCUGUUUUUGUGUGUCUGCCUGUGUCAUGGGUCUGUUUGUUUCUGUCUGCGUCAAGCGCCCCUCCUGUUCCCCCUCCGCUUUUUCUUCAGCUUCUCUCCUCGCUUUUCACGGGCACGCACGCGCAUGCGGCCAGGAAUGCUGCGCAUGUACCUCGGCUGCGGAUGACUUUGCUUUGCGUUCGGUACGCACAUACACAUGCACAUACACACACACACGCACACACACGCACGUUUGUUUGGAUUCGUGUGUGGCGUUUAUGUGGAGUGGGAUGUUUGCUUAAUGUUUUUCUUUUCCUAGUCGCGCUUGUGCUGUGCUGUGCUGUUGCAAUUUCACAGAGGCUUGCAGCUGUGGUGACGCCCCACUCUGUUUUUGUCUCUCGGUUCGAUGUGUGUGUGUGUGUUUUCGUGGAAUGAUGGUGCGUGUGUGUAUCUGUCUACCAAAGUCACCGCGUAGACGCGCGCGAACACGCUUGCGCAUAUCUACAUGCUCACCUGUGAUGUAUAGUCCCGCCGAAUUCUCCUUUGCUCAUGGGAUGUAUAAAUUUUUGUUCUUUUUUGUGUCGUUCGGGAGGGAGGGUGUAUGGGGGUAUGGGGAUGGAGGCGUAGACACGUGGAGGGAGGCUAGCUCCGUGUCUGCUUGGCGUUGAGGCCCUGCCCUUCCUGCCUCUGAUGCCUCUCUCUACCCUCGUACCCGUGCUCUAUCUCUUUCUACUCGCCUGUGUUGCGUGAAUGCGCACCGGCUUCUUGUAGACAUGCUCCCCUGCCACCAAACACCUAAACUUGCAUCCGACAGUGCAACGCACCGACGACCAGCGCCCUCAGCUGUAGGAGAGACGGAGAUGAAGGCCAAGAGGGGACGUGUGCGAAGAAGCAAAGCCGUGCGUGUAUGUAUGCUGCACACACACCGCUUUGCUUCUCCUCCCUCAUGCCUUCCUGCAAGAAGGCAACAAGACAUCAUCAGCCGCCCUGGCUGCACCAGCAGCCUUCUUUCUUUCCCGUUGUGUUGAUGGAUGUGCCUACUGCAGCUUUCCCAUCUCUCACUUUCGCACCGUCUCUCCCAAAACAGCCGGCGCCCCUUCUUCCAUGUCGCUUCCUCGUCUCUCAUCCACCAUUUUUUUUUCACGUGCGCGUGUCGCACACAUCACUCAUCGCGUGCAUUUUCGCUCUCCUUCUCCUGCUGCGCUUUGCGGUCAG